CAAGUCGAACGGGAUAGUUUUGUAGCAAUAUGAAACUGUUCAGUGGCGAACGGGUGCGUAACACGUGGGUCACAUUCCGGGAAGUGAGAAAUAGCCCAGGGAAACUUGGAUUAAUAUCUCAUGUGGUCGCAAGACUAAAGGCGCAAGCCGCUUCCUGAUUGGCCCGCGGCCUAUCAGCUAGUUGGUGAGGUAAUGGCUCACCAAGGCAACGACGGGUAGCUGGUCUGAGAGGACGACCAGCCACACUGGAACUGAGACACGGUCCAGACACCUACGGGUGGCAGCAGUCGAGAAUCUUUCACAAUGGGCGAAAGCCUGAUGGAGCGACGCCGCGUGGAGGUUAAGGUCUUCGGAUUGUAAACUCCUGUCAUGCGAGAACAAAGCCCGCAAGGGUGUGAUAGUACCGCAAGAGGAAGAGACGGCUAACUCUGUGCCAGCAGCCGCGGUAAUACAGAGGUCUCAAGCGUUGUUCGGAAUUACUGGGCGUAAAGGGUGCGCAGGCCGCGCGGGCAGUCAAAUGUGUAAUCCAGGGGCUCAACCCCUGAACUGCGCUUGAUACUUCCGCGCUCGAGCUUUGGAGAGGAGUCUGGAAUUCUCGGUGUAGCAGUGAAAUGCGUGGAUAUCGAGAAGAACACUUAGGGCGUAGGCAAGACUCUGGACAAAUGCUGACGCUCAUGCACGAAGGCUAGGGUAGCGAACGGGAUUAGAUACCCCCGGUAGUCCUAGCUGUAAACGGUGCACGUUUGGUGUGGGA
rnacentral:rRNA from 1 species